rnacentral:rRNA from 1 species
GACGAACGCUGGCGGCGUGCUUAACACAUGCAAGUCGAACGGAAAGGCCUGCUUUCCCUUGUGGAUUGCGGGUACUCGAGUGGCGAACGGGUGAGUAACACGUGAGUGAUCUGCCCCCAACUUGGGUAUAAGCCUGGGAAACUGGGUCUAAUUCCCGAUAGGACUGCAGGGUGGUGCCUGUGGUGGAAAACGAUUUUCUAGUGGUUGGGGAUGAGCUCGCGGCCUAUCAGCUUGUUGGUGGGGUAAUGGCCUACCAAGGCGGCGACGGGUAGCCGGCCUGAGAGGGUGGACGGCCACAUUGGGACUGAGAUACGGCCCAGACUACUACGGGAGGCAGCAGUGGGGAAUAGUGCACAAUGGGCGGAAGCCUGAUGCAGCGACGCCGCGUGGGGGAUGACGGCCUUCGGGUUGUAAACUCCUUUCGACCGCGAGGAAGCCACCUGGUUGGAAGGGUGGUGACGGUAGUGGUAGAAGAAGCACCGGCUAACUACGUG